GAGUUUGAUCAUGGCUCAGAGUGAACGCUGGCGGCGUGCUUAACACAUGCAAGUCGAGGGGCAGCAGGUCAGAACUUCGGUUCUGAUGCUGGCGACCGGCGGACGGGUGCGUAACACGUAGCUACUUGCCCCACAGUGGGGGAUAACCCGGGGAAACCCGGGCUAAUACCGCAUACACCCGAGAGGGGAAAGCCGAAAGGCGCUGUGGGAUAGGGCUGCGGCGUAUCAGGUAGUUGGUGGGGUAACGGCCUACCAAGCCGAUGACGCGUAGCUGGUCUGAGAGGAUGAUCAGCCACACUGGAACUGAGACACGGUCCAGACUCCUACGGGAGGCAGCAGUGGGGAAUAUUGGGCAAUGGGCGAAAGCCUGACCCAGCAACGCCGCGUGGAGGAAGACGCCCUUCGGGGUGUAAACUCCUUUUCUGGGGGAAGAGAGAGACGGUACCCCAGGAAUUAAGCUCCGGCUAACU
rnacentral:rRNA from 1 species